UUCAGGUUACAUUCAUUCUGAAGAAACUUAGUCUUAACUUGUAUGUUUAUCUAUCCUUCUUAAGUUUUACUAUUUUAUUAUUCUGAUAAUGAUGGUAACUUCUUUACUAUAUUGAAAUAUUGUAGCGUUUGUAUUCACCGAGGGAUUAUUUUGUUCAAGCAUCAUCUUUCCGAGGAACUAAAUUUUUUUUUGUUCAUAUGUACCUUAGGGUCAGGAUCAAUAUCCUGUUCUCUGUGAGUAACUAGGGAACAUUUUCUUAAUCUGCAGUUUCUUUAGAAAUUGAUUUACCUGUUCUCUAGUAUUUCCAUAAUUGGAUUUAUUUAUAAGAGUUAUUAAUAUGUGACUUCUUGAAUUCUUUCAUGAGAGAUGACUUCGAAAUAUUGGUUAGCUUCUUCUGGCCAUUCUUAUCAAUCUGUUGUAGCUAUAGCUAUAGUUAGAGAAUCCCAGAGUAAGCUAACUUCUGUUAGGUCAACUAUUCGAUUAGUUACCCUUAGAUAGAUCUCCCAUUGAAUCUGAUACAAAUCUGAUGAUCAGUUGAGUUAGGGUCAUGGUAACAAAUAUGUAAUCAUCAUUAGUACAUUUAGCGCUAAGUGUAGCAUUGCUCAAUUAAAUCUGCCUGAUUGUUCCACCUUGGAUAUGCUUCCCUAUAAAUCUGUUGUCCACUGUCGGAUCAAUUUAGGAUAAAAGUCUUGCUACAAUAAAUUUCCCCUUUCUUGUUAAUGACUCUUAUAUUUAGGUUAGGUUAUACUGUGGUCUAUUUUUUUUGCAUGUUGAGAAUUGGCUACGAGAUUUCUACGGACUGUUCACUUUGGAUAUGCUCUAUUUAAAUCUGUUGUCCAUCGAUAGAACAGUUUGUACUACUCGUCCCAUUCGACAUUUUUUUGAUUAGAAUUUAUCUGAAUUAUGAAAUUUAGCAAAGGGUUAUAAUAAACCUUAACUAGGUAUGUUGGUACCAUAUGUGAUAUAUUGGUCAUUAAGACAACCCCAUUUACAUGACUCAUAAUUUGCGGUUAGGUAUAAUCGAUCGAGUCAGCUGUAAGUGUGAGUAAGUUAGUCGUCGUAUAGGUUAUAUUAAGUUUUGUAUUCGAAUAUUGUGGUUAUGGUGUUCUUGUUGACUAUAAUUUGGGGUUUUAUAUAAAUCUACUAAAUCAACUGGAACACAAUUUGGUCUUUAGGAUAUAUAUCAGAGGACUGGUCCUACGAGUUUGGACGAUGUCCUACGAUAGGUUAGUUUAGAGUAGUGAAGUAAUCAUAGGUUCGCACUAUAUUUUUGCUAUUUGGUUUGUUCACGCCUGUGUUGGAUCCCACAGCGUGUGAUUUUUCUCUAUGAAUACUGGCAUUGAGUAUUUAUAAGUAUAUAUGGAAAAAAAUUGUUCCUAAGAUCAAUUUUUUUUUUCCGAGUAAUGGGGGAAUGUAACGAUGAGUGUCAUCGUUACGAUAUUAUUAUAUUUAUUCCUAUAAGCCACCUAAUAAGUAUGCAACCAGUUAUGCGUUCGUGCUUAGAACGGGUUACCUAGAUUUGUGACCAAAUAUAAUAGAAGGUUGGUACUACGCUUGGGGAAUUCUGGUCUUAGCUUGUGGCUGUACGGCUUCCGACGGAGGGGCAUGUCAUAUCGCCCAUCGGAGAGGAUUGUCACUUCAAUUUUCAAUCUGGUUGGAUGAACAAGUAAAUUUUUCCGUGGUCACUGUUUAAAGAAUACAAUAUUUAGUUAAAAUAUUCAUUUAUUAUAAGAUUGGUUUAUUUUGGAAGGAGCUAUUUUUUGUUUUGGGAUUUGUGCGGUGAGAGGAAGAGUUUUAUUUCCAAGUUUCCUUUUGGAAAACAGUGGCCACGGAAGAAAAUAAGAAGAUGGAAAAUUAAGUCAAUCAUACUUUAAUUUGUUUUUUUGGAAUACAUAAUCAUUUUGGGGAUAUUUUGGAUGGAAUGUGGAUGUUUUGUUUGGUUUUUGUGGAAUAAAAGUUGAGUUUUCCGAUACUGGGCAGCUACCUGCUUGCCGUACCUUCCUGUUGGUGUGGAGUACCUCCCUAGGGUUGGGAACCAGAGGAUACCUUAUUUGGCUCUCCCCUCAUCAUCUUCACCAAAGGUUGGAAGAAGCAAUCCGCCUACUUUUUGUAGGGACAGGUUUUUAUAUAACUAAAUUUACAUGUCAAUUUGUUUUAAUAAUAACUUCCAAUUUUACUAUUUUUUUUCUCUUCGUAUCAAUAACUUUCAAAUCACUCUAAUAAUAAUAUACCCUCAUUGUUUUUCUUAACCAUAAGUAACAUAAUAUUCAAUAUUUUUCAACAAUUUUUAUUAUAUUUCACCCUUAUUUAAUUUAUUUAAAAUAGCCUGGGAUUUAUAAACCAUAUGUAAGAUAAUGUGCACAGUAUCUAGGUCAUAUCCUAUUUAAUAAUAUUUAUUCCAGUUGUCGGAUGUUGUCACCUCCGAUUAGAUACGGUAUUGUCAACCAAUAUUGUAACCCUCAUUAAUAAUAAGUUGUUAAGGUAAAUACCUAUUCAUACUAAAUUCAUUACAUAUUUUUUUCUACUGUAAAACCUGCAUUAUCGACAGCAGUGUACUAGCCUAGUACGUCGGAUAAUUAGCUAGUGUAAAAAUUGUAUAUAGGGUAUAUAGGUUUUUUUAUUAAAUGUGGUUGUACAUA
rnacentral:lncRNA from 1 species